rfam:Triticum urartu cultivar G1812 contig850303, whole genome shotgun sequence.
CUAGUACUCCCUCCGUUCCAAAUUACUCGUCGCAGAAAUGGAUGUAUCUAGAACUAAAAUACAUCUAGAUACAUCCAUACCUACGACAAGUAAUUUGGAACGGAGGGAGUACAUG